rnacentral:rRNA from 1 species
AACGAACGCUGGCGGCAGGCUUAACACAUGCAAGUCGAACGCGUGCAGCAAUGCACGAGUGGCGCACGGGUGAGUAACGCGUGGAUAUCCGCCUUCUGGUUCGGAAUAACCCCGGGAAACUGGGGCUAAUACCGAAUGGUUCCUACGGGAUAAAGAUUUAUCGCCAGAAGAUGAGUCCGCGUCCGAUUAGCUAGUUGGUGAGGUAACGGCUCACCAAGGCGACGAUCGGUAGCNGGUCUGAGAGGACGAUCAGCCACACUGGGACUGAGACACGGCCCAGACUCCUACGGGAGGCAGCAGUGGGGAAUAUUGGACAAUGGGGCAACCCUGAUCCAGCCAUGCCGCGUGAGUGAUGAAGGCCUUCGGUU